rnacentral:lncRNA from 7 species
CAACGAUUAUGAACUUGGUGACGUCUUGUCGUCAUAGUUCAGUAGCAGCCUCACCUGUGUCUGGUGCCGAUGGAUUAUAAAGAAGAGCCUCUACAGCGUAAAGAGGUACGAUUGUGUUAUCUCACCAAAGUCAAGUCACCGAUGAGCCUGGCGAGAUGACCAUUGUUGGGAGGAACCUUCAUGCUUGAAGGCUGCCUUGUGAUCCUGACACAAGGUUGGGGGAGUGACGUGCAUUGAUUGGUUGCACUCCUUCAGGGCCCAUGGAGGCAUAUGGUGUAAUUCCCAUAGGGCAUUACGCACCCCAGUCGGAGCACGAGUUAAAGCUAGACGUAUAGGAACUGCAUCGUGUGGGGCCACUGAGGCAUGUCCGCCCACUAGAGAUAGUUGUGGGGAAUACUACAUGUGAUUCUGAUGUUGCGUGGCAUGGCUCACAAUCUGAGUUGCUGGAGCACAUUUAGGAAAUGAUUGCUCUAGUAGACGACUGUAUUGGCGUUACCAUAGUCGCGUCGCACAUCAUGAUGAGGACAUCACCUUCUUGUAUAUAUUGUAAGGUUCAGAUACAAGAGUGUGAUCAUGUCAACUGAAACUCCAAGCAUGUUCUUUCAGAGCCAAUUAUUUUCCUAAUCUUACA